GCGCGGGAGGAGGAACGGCGCGGCGCUCCUGACAGGAAUCACCGCCCAGGGACAGGGCCAGCGCCCACCGCGCGAACAGAAAUGCUUCUUAUCCAUCCGUUCCUUACUCCCUCGUGAUCUGACUGAAGAAUAUAUUUAAACUGGAAGAAACACAGCAAAAUCAAUUAUCAAUAUCUUCCGUUUCAUCCAAAUAGUUGCAUAACAGCUACCAUUGAAGCUCACUCUCCAGCAAGGAAAGCAGAGAGCUGUGUGAACACGGCCUGGGGGCUGCAGGGACAGCAGGGCUUCCCCUGCUGCUUGAACGCUGAUACCACAAAGUGGUCGUGCAUGUUGUUUCCUACAUGUAUGCCUCCUGGUGCAGUAUUCACCACUGUUUCCUACGCUGAACAUCGCUGCAGACCUGACAAUGAAUUGCUGCUUCUGUCACAGACAAUUGCCGAGCACAGAGCCAGCCCAUGGCUUCCUCAGUGAGCUGUUUGUUUGGAUUAAAAAGCAAGGGAAGAAUAAAACAGAAAGCCCUAGAGAAGCAGAGCUGCUGCUGCAUCUGAGAGCAUCCAGUCCUGUAGUGGAAACCAGACCCGUUACUGCAACUCUUGCACAGGUGAAGCACGCACAGCAGGGCUCGCUGGCACAGCUCCACACUUUGCUGCCACGGCCAAUUGCCUAUGUCCUGUUUCUAGAGCUGGUUAAAAAAUCCGUCACGUUGGCCAUCUAUGGAAGGACAACAGCAGAGGAACACGCAAGAUUCCUGAAAUGGAUAUUCUGAGAUCAUGGUCUUCGUAUGAAUACGUGAGUCAAAUCCCUUUGUACAAUCAAGGUGCGUCUGUACAUAGAACACUGAAUGUGGGAUUUACAGAUGAAGGGGGAAUUACCAACAAUAUAUUUAUUUCCCCCUAAUGAAGCUUUUCUAAUGAAAUUUAAUACUGCCAAGGUUGCGAGAUAUUUGAAACAGGAGCCCAGUUCAAAUCUUUCAGCCAAAUGCUGGUGAUAGCAUUAGCGAGGCGUGGGAAUCAAGGCUUUACAUAGUGCUGUACAAGAAAAUGAGCUGAGGGGAGCGGGCUGAACAAAGCAAAGCAAAAUAAAACGAUGGCCUAAAACCAAAGGAGUACACACUUGUUAUUAGGCCAAAUGUUUUGACCUGCUGGCUGGGGACAUAGAAGAGACAGAGACACGAGAAUUCGCUGGACAAUUUGACUCAAAAACUUAAUUUAAUUUUGCAUCACACAGGAAGUUUUUUCUUUCUUUCUUUCUUUUUAAAGAUGCAAAUUAGAGUAAUUGCAUCAAGUUAUUAGCUGUAGCAUCAUUGCAAGUGAGUUUUCAGCAUAUAUUUUAAAAGGUUUUGGAAUGUUCCCAAAGCUGCAAGCGCUAAGUAUUUUCAGGUUAUUUGUACGGUAAGCCUUUCCUAUUUACGUAUGAAAUAUCUGAGCCCAUAAUAUUUGAGCCUUAAGUUUCAAGGCAGAAUUAAGAAUUCAGGUUUGUGUAAGAGAAGAAACUGUUUAUUCAAAGUAAAACAGGCAAGAAGAAAAAUUAUCUCGUACGUAGAAACAUGUAGCACAAACCACAGUGCAACGUGGGAUGCGUGGAAGGAGCUACGAAACAUCAGCUUAUACAUAGAAACUGUAGUUUAGAUACAUCCCAGUUUUUAGGGACCGGGUCCCCCUAACACACGCAGAGUGGGCAGAAAGCAUUUUGCCGUCCUUCCCCAAAGUUUCCGGGGAAAACCUCCUGGAGAGAGCAGCACAGAGGGAGGAGGCUUUCAGCGAAUCACAAAGUCCACAAGAAGGAUUAAACAAUGCGAUAUUCCUGCUAUUGCCCUGAACGAAGUCAAGGGAUGUGUGAAUUUGAUAGCGUGCUGAACAGAAUUCCCGUUAAUAAAUUUUGAUUAAAUGUUUAUUGGUUAACCA